ACGACGUUAGCCCCCCUUCCCCUUCGCGU
rnacentral:sRNA from 1 species